CUCAACUGACCAAACUGCAGUGCCAUGUAGCUGCCUAGUUUCCAGCCAAGAGAAUGACCUUCACUCUAACCAGUGAGCUUCAGUUCCCACCAGUUAAGGAAAUUAAGGGGUUUUAAACCAGUUAGACACUGCCUGGUCAGGUUACUCAUUACGUACCGUGUUCCCUUGGGCAUUUUUUUUAAGCUCUGUAGAACAGAGAAUAAAAAUGUUGUGCCUGUUCUGUGGAACAUUUCAGUACAGAACAAGUUGUUUUGUUGAAGUCAAAAUGUAAAAUACCUCCCCCCUCCUUUUUUCCCCCCCCUUCUCAUCUUAAGGCUAGCUCAGAAGGCUGUUUAUAGAGAAGAGACUGGACUUUUGAUGACAGCAAGGACAAGUGCAAAAUCUCACUCUGUCAAAGUGUGGAGAAAAUUAAGUACAGAGCGCAAGUCCAUCAGGAGAACUCAGAAGUGCUUCAGAGUCCUGUCCUAUUAACAUUGUGACAAGAAAUCCUGCAUCUGCAAAGCACAUCACAGUACCGCAAGUGGUUGCAGAGCCUAACUCAGACACCAGAAACGGCAGGAGAGCCAUGUUAGCAAGGCAUCAGGCUCUGCUCUAGCCAUUCAAGUCUGCUCUUCAUUCAGACCAAGCUCAGCCAAGUCUCUCACCUCUGCUACCCAUUUUUACUAACUGACACCAAGUGGCCUGAGCUAAAUUCUAGGACAAUUCAACAGGCAUUAAAUGGACAGAGUUACACAGAAAAGACACACUGCAUUUCAUUCUCAAAUACCUGCUACAGCAUGCCAAGCUAGUGGGCAACAAAAGAAACACUCUACAUGGAAGGAACUAGAUCUGCUAACUCAUGUUAUAUAUCCUCAAAAGGUUAUUUUCUGUUUCCUGAUAUCAAGCACAAUUAACAUAGACAAGGUGCCAGAGAAUCCUUAUGCACAACAUAACAAUCCUGACUCUACCUAUAGUUUCCAACUCCUACAAGCAGGCAGACUCACAGGUGACAGAGGUCAACUUUAAACUGGAUAUUUAAAGAAAAAGAAGGCAUGAGCUGCUAUUCAACUUAGGGAGCUGUUUCCUCUUCCACACUAUUAGGAAGAUAAUAAAGCGGAAACUGAGAAAGACUGGACACUUUACAUACUACAGAUAGGUUUUACGAGCUUUCUGCACAUCCUACAGCUAGAUUCAGAAAUUCUACAUCGCUAAUGUUACAGGGACAUUUAGUUAGCGGGUUGUUGGUUUGAGUUUUUUAAACUACAGUAGAGCAACACUACGUAGCUUUUAUCCAGAGAUGCACUAGAAAUCACAACAGAAAAAUCAGUAGCAAUGAACUGUCUUCAGGUGAUGUGAUCUGAAAGCAUACAGCCAUGACAGACUUCAAAGUGCUGUUGAAUUAUAGACAGUCUGAAUCACAACCGUGGUAAAUUAUCUGGGCUGAGGUUAUAGCAAGCAGCAUUUCAUCAAGCUUUUCAAAUGCCUGAAAAUUUGAGGGGAAGACACUGCUGCUCCCAGUCUAUUAUUCAGAGGAAGAAGUAGUAUGCAGAACGGACAAAUGUUCUUCUGUGUGCAUUUCUGCAGCAUAUGAGAAAGGCUUUGCAAGCCUUUUAGGCAAGGUUAAUGAGGGGUCAUCAGAGGAGAAGCUAGCAAGACUGCACUCUGAUAUUCAGCACUGUUAAUGGAACUGAGGCUUUGUGGGCUGCAGUGUUCUCAUCCUGAAAAAAUUUAGCAGUUUAGAGGAAAAAAAAAAAAAGAGCACAGUGACCAUUGAGCUAGAUUAACAAAAUAUCAUCAAAGAAUCCACAGAGCUUAAGAAUCAUCCAACAUUACAUAGUUAGUACCUAGAAAUGGAAGUCUCAGUGAGUAAGACCCACAUCUACUUCUGCGUCAACACAAACCUCUUCAGACUUCCCAGUAUCAGUGUUAAAGACUAGCAGAGAGAAAAAAGGAAGUGAGGGGGAAGUGACUGUUCAAAACACAUCCCUGUACAGCCACAGAAAUUGAAACUGAUCAAGGAUCUACACAGACCCCUCCACCAGUAUACUUUUCUACACGGCACUGAACACAAAAAAAUGAUUAAAUGGAGCUGAACAGCUGUUGUUCCAGAAGUAAGCAUGUAGGCUACACAACCCCAGUUUCCCCAGCCACUCCUUGUAAGAAUUGAGCUCUAGACCCUUCACCAGCUUCGUUACUCUUCUUUGGACAUGCUCUAGCAAUUCAAUGUCUUUCAUGCAGUGAGAGACCCAAAACUUUUCAGCCCCUUUUCUCCUCUUAAAUUAAAGAUGGAAGACAACGUUCCUGAGGAUGGCUAGUGGAAUGAAGUGCAAUGCCAAGUUAACACUUACCUACUGAAAGUAAAAUUUCACAUAGCUGCUUGGCAAGUCUCCACAACAAGAAUCAAUUUUAUAUAAGCUAUAGACAGCCUUUGUGGAGUAUGAAAACAACCUUAAGAACGAGAACACUCAAGUAUAAUAUACACAUCUAACACAAUAGAAAAGAUUAGGCUUAAAACAGUUGUGUAUUACACUUUUUAAAGUUCCUAAUUCAGGGGGGAAAUUCUUUUGCAGGAUUCCUCUUACACAAGCUAUUAAAAAUGCUUUAAGUUUCAGUAGUACACAAGUAGUCAACCUAAAUGAAAGGCUGGAGGAUUAUUCACAUUAGCUAUACUGCUUCCUGGUGUACAUCCUCUAUUUUCAUUUCUGGCAUUUCAAUACAAAACAAUAGUAGCACUGCACAAAAUUUGUCAGAAGAUGCAGUUAGUUCCUUAAAAACACACCAAAAAUUUAAA